AACCAAUUUUGACGAAAGUAAUCGAAAUACGAAAAUAAGUUUGCCAAACUGGCAAAGAAAAGCAGCGGAAUAUAACUUUAGAAACCAACUGAAGAUGGUCAAAAAAGCCCGAAUUCAUGCUUAAGGACGAAGAGAAAAAGAGAAAGGAUGCUGAUGAAAAGAAGGCGUGCAGAAGAAAAAGC